rnacentral:rRNA from 1 species
GAUGAACGCUGGCGGCGUGCCUAAUACAUGCAAGUCGAGCGAACAGACGAGGAGCUUGCUCCUCUGACGUUAGCGGCGGACGGGUGAGUAACACGUGGAUAACCUACCUAUAAGACUGGGAUAACUUCGGGAAACCGGAGCUAAUACCGGAUAAUAUAUUAAACCGCAUUGUUCAAUAGUGAAAGACGGUUUUGCUGUCACUUAUAGCUAGAUCCGCGCCGCAUUAGCUAGUUGGUAAGGUAACGGCUUACCAAGGCAACGAUGCGUAGCCGACCUGGGAGGGGAAUCGGCCACACUGGAGCUGGGACACGGUCAGGACUCCUAGGGGAGGCGGCAGUAGGGAAUCUUCCGCAAUGGGCGAAGGCCUGACGGAGCAACGCCGCGUGAGUGAUGAAGGUCUUCGGAUCUUAAAACUCUGUUAAUAGGGAAGAACAAAUGUGUAAGUAACUAUGCACGUCUUGACGGUACCUAAUCAGAAAGCCACGGCUAACUACGUG